GGGGACGACAGGCUUCGACGUGGUCGGCUCGUGGGGGUGGUUGCGAGUCGAGGUCCCGGGAGGCCUCGUAAAACACCCGGGAAAAAAAUAAGUGCGGACUCUCACGAGUUCGGUCUCGCCGUUUAGCGACUAGCUAAGCCGCGAGCCUCCCGGUUUCUCGUUCGCCUGCGGCGGGGAGCACCGGGAUCAAACAGCAGGCUCGCCCGGUGAGGAUCGCUCCAGCCGAUCCGGGGACAUCCAAUGGAGCUGGUACUCGGCAACCCCGCCGGCGAGGCGAGCCGAGGACGAGAUCAGAGCGCCGGCUACGCUCGUAGACGCCACCUUUCACGCGACCGCGGACGCGGGUUCAAUUCCCGCCGUCUCCAC
rnacentral:sRNA from 1 species